rnacentral:tRNA from 1 species
GCCCCGGUAGCUCAGCGGCAGAGCGGCGGCCUUGUAAGCCGCAGGUCGCGGGUUCGAAUCCCGCCCGGGGCU